rnacentral:rRNA from 1 species
CCGCCCUGCCCGCCGCCUACGGGAGGCAGCAGUAGGGAAUCUUCCGCAAUGGACGAAAGUCUGACGGAGCAACGCCGCGUGAGUGAUGAAGGCUUUCGGGUCGUAAAACUCUGUUGUUAGGGAAGAACAAGUACAAGAGUAACUGCUUGUACCUUGACGGUACCUAACCAGAAAGCCACGGCUAACUACGUGCCAGCAGCCGCGGU